CAGAAAGGAGGAGAUAGGUAUGGCUAAGGAAAAGGAGCACAUUAAUGUUGCCUUCAUAGGGCAUGUGGACCACGGAAAGAGCACUCUGAUUGGAAGGCUGCUCUACGAAACGGGUGAGAUUCCGGAGCACAUCAUCGAGAAAAUGAGGAAAGAGGCUCAGGAGAAGGGCAAAGCCACCUUCGAGUU
rnacentral:sRNA from 1 species